rnacentral:tRNA from 1 species
CAAAAAAAAGCAUUUAUAGAUGUUUUUCAUUUACGUUGAAUAGAUGGUUUUUACCUUUUUUGA